rnacentral:rRNA from 1 species
UAAGGAAUAUUGGUCAAUGGGCGCAAGCCUGAACCAGCCAUGCCGCGUGCAGGAAGACGGUCCUAUGGAUUGUAAACUGCUUUUAUUUGGGAAUAAACCUCUUUACGUGUAGAGAGCUGAAGGUACCAAAUGAAUAAGCACCGGCUAACUCCGUGCCAGCAGCCGCGGUAAUACGGAGGAUCCAAGCGUUAUCCGGAUUUAUUGGGUUUAAAGGGUGCGUAGGCGGCUUAUUAAGUCAGGGGUGAAAGACGGUGGCUCAACCAUCGCAGUGCCCUUGAUACUGAUGAGCUUGAAUGGACUAGAGGUAGGCGGAAUGUGACAAGUAGCGGUGAAAUGCAUAGAUAUGUCACAGAACACCGAUAGCGAAGGCAGCUCACUAGGUCUGGAUUGACGCUCAUGCACGAAAGCGUGGGGAGCAAACA